GAUUAGAACAACUACUGCAAUAGAAUGACUCCUUUUUUUUUGUUACCUUUCAUGCAAGAAUUCAACAUUGCUCAUUUCUUGUUAUUAGGCACACCAUACCUAAUUGUAAAGAUAAAUGACAACAAUAAAUAUAUAGAAACAUCAUGCAUACUAUAGCUUUGGGCACACAAUUAUAAAGGAUUCCGGGACAAACAAGAAUGAAGUGUAAGUGUUUUGCUGAAUACUUUGCUAAAUAUGCACAAGAAACAUGAAUAUGUAUACAAUGCCACCAUAAAGACAAGAAAUAUUUCAGACAUGACUCACAGCUAGUUCCACUUACGUAGUUACAUACCUUAGGCAUCUAUCAAGCCAUGGAUCAUUUGUCAAGCAUAGUAUACACUUAUUUUAGUUGUUUGUUUAUGUGCCAAUAAUAUUAGCUCUGCAGCUCUCGUUUCAUCAAUCUUCUCACCUGAAAGGACAUCAAGCAAUCACUAAUGCAUACAUGAUGGUCUUUAGAGGGGGGAAAUGAGCAUGUAGACGGUAUGGUAUAUACAAUGGAACAAACAAUGAACAACAAUUGCAAUACAUUUUAUAUGUAGUGUGCAAUAAGAGAUGGAGAUAACCUAUCAAAAUAAAAAGAAAGACAUUUUAUAUAACCAUAUAGUAACCUGCAGUUUCCAGUUUUUAUGUCAACUCACCAAUAAAAGAAGCAUCAUCGUCUAAUAGUGGUAUAUGUGUCGAAACCGAUCUACUACGAUCAUUAGUAAAUUUUGGGGUGCUAAAAAUUUUUAACACAAAAUUAUGGCAUGCAUGAUAUCGAAGUCAAUUGCACAAGUAAGAAUUGCUAACAAAGAUGAAGAAAGAGUUCAUGUUAUCUCACAGUUUAUCACAUGGAGAAGGGACAUUUCUUCUUCUUUGUGUGUAAUAAAACUCCCUCUUUUAUUAGUCCUGUGCUACCUCGGUAUUUCAAUUUCUGCACCUGCAAAAGGGUGAAGAUAGAGUUAGGAAGAUAUUCGCGGUAGAAUGAUUAGGGUGGGUUUGGAACGACUUAGGCUUGUGCGUAAGAUAACUUCCUACGUAAGCUCUAGAUAAGACGUAGUGAGAAUAAACUGUGAGUAAUUGUAAUUGUAUGUUUGGAACGGCUUAUGAAUUUGGGUUUAUUGCCCUACAUUGCAAUUUAAAAGAUGCAAAGUAUAAAAUACCCCUGAACUUUCAAUUACCACUGUACCAAAUGUUACAGGGCGCUACUGAAUACUUGCCUGUUUCUGAACUUUAACAAUCAAUGGUUUGAUAAACAAUCAGAUAAAAAACUCACAAUGUCACACUCCCCGAUCCAUGACCAGAGUAGUAACCAAUCCACACUAUCCACUAUUUUUGUAGUUGCUGGUCCGUAUACACAUAAUUUAGAGAACAAAACAGCUCUCUCUAGUUGCUUCUCAAUAUACACAUUUAGAGUACGUAAUGGGCCUAGGCUGGCGGUAUAGCCCGUUAGUAUUAGGGUUAAUUAGAGAUAAGGGUCGCUUGCUUAGGGGUCAAGUAAAGCCUUGCUGGGAGUCAAGUAAACCUCUUUAUAUAAAUCAAUCUAAUCAAGCAAGAAUUAAAAAGGAAAUCCUUUCCCUCUUGCCCGGCCGUGGGCAAUAAGGCCCCCGGCCGGCCCUCUCGCACCCUCCUUCUAGCAGCACCAUAACAAUUUGGUAUCAGCUAGCUUCGAUUCGAUCAUGUCUUCACCGCCGCCCAACCCGUCUCUCCUGCUGUCGGUCACCUCGUCGCUUCCGGCGACCACCACGACCGUCGCCCCGCUCCUGCCCGCGCCGGGCUCCUCCGUCGCGCCCGCCCCCGCCGUCCUCACCCCGGAGGAGGUGUCCGGGACGCUGCGGGACCUAACCCAGGCGGUCCAGGAGGUCCGCAUGUUCUUGGCCGGGUCCUACGGGCCGCACCCGGCUGCGCCGCCCAUUGCCACCACCGCGCCGCCGUGGCAGCCGCCGCACCAGGCGGCCUCCGCCGCGCUCGCCGAGCCGCUGCAGCUGCCAUCCACCGCCACCACCGCCCCGCCCUAGCUGUAGUGGCAGCCGCCGCAGCAGCCGCUGCAGCUGCAGCAGCCACCGCCAGUCAGCUCCGGCCCCGCAUCGCCCGCGCUGGCGGGAGUCCCGAUCCACCAGGUCCGGUUCCCGCCCUCGCCGUCACCUCUUUCGUCUUGGAUCGCUACCCGCCACGUGUUGGCGGCAGUGAGGCUGCAGGCUGCUGCGCGCGACCUCCUAGUGCGUCGGCGUGUGCGGGAGAUGUGUGGUCUGCAGCUGCCGCUCCUCCAAAUUGCCCUUCGCUGCGCAAAGGACCUCGAUCUCGUCCGCUGCGUCGGGGAUCUUGGGCAUGCGGUUUCCCCCACGGGCGGUGGGCAUGCUGUUUUCCCCGCGGGCAGCGACCUCAAAGUCUGCGACAUCGGCGGUUGGGGGGGCGCACCCCUCUUCGUCAUUCUCCAUCGCAAGCCCUCCACUCUUACCUGUGCGGUGCAAACCAACAACCAUACACAUGCACUCCUUUUGUCCAGGUGGUGUCCAUGGGAUCCAGGUGGUUGUACACGUGCACGUCCGACGUGCGGAUGGUGUCCACUUUUUGUUAAGGGGUCCAAAAUAAAGCAUCCCAGUCCAUUUCAGGUUGAGAGUAAUAAAACAAGCCGAGAUGUAAAAAGGCUUGUUUUUAGGUGUUAGGUUUGUCUUGCGUCGAGUCAUGGUUAUAAGUUGGUUAGGCCGCAGCUCGAGGACAAGCUGCAUGUCCAGGUGGGGUGUAGUGUUAGAGUACGUCAUGAGCCUAAUGGGCCUGGGCUGGCGGUAUAGCCCGUUAGUCUUAGGGUUAAUUAGAGAUAAGGGUCACUUGCUUAGGGGUCAAGUAAAGCCUUGCUUGGGAGUCAAGUAAACCUCUCUAUAUAAAGAGAGGAGAUGUAUCAAUCUAAUCAAGCAAGAAUUAAGAAGAAAAUCCCUUCCCUCUUGCCCGGCCGUGGGCAAUAAAGCCCCCGGCCGGCCCUCUCGCGCCCUCCUUCUAGUAGCCACAUAACAUAUGACAUAUUGAGAGAGGGACAAUGAACUGCUCAAUCUCAGUUUAGGAACAAAAACUAAUUCUAUUGCAAGAAGAUAAUACCUUGAGAUGGAGGGCAGUUGGCGACCAGGUUGUAAAUCUGGUCACAUGAUUGGGGCCUGUAGGAAAGGAAGAGUAUUUCGUGGGAUUUAAUAGGAGAAGCGAAAGAUCUCUCUCUCCUUCACGUGGCUACUCCCACCCCACCCAUGGCUAGGACUAGGGGCACAUUUGAGGCAAAAGAGCUCUGCACACCCAUUUGCUACGCCUGAACCACCGCAUUCUCGGAACCAAGGCUCUGUCCUCUCCCCCAUCCUCCCACCCACCCAGAGUCAUUCGCCUUCCCCUCCUCUGCGCCGGCAAACAAGAUGAGUCAUGGAGGCGCCGCCGACGUGAAUCUCGGUGACGGCGUGUGCCCAUGUUUCCUGUGCAGUACCAGGAGAAGCAUGCGGCGUGCGCCCCCUGUGCUUCUCCCAUUCGCGGUGCAGGGGGGCGCACGCCACGUACUUCUCCUGGCACUGCACAAGAAACAUUUUUUCUUGAUUUGUUCAAGCAACCGGCGCAUCAAGCAAGGAAGGAGGCAAAGCAAAGAUGAUCCAUUUGUGCAGUAC
rnacentral:lncRNA from 1 species